rnacentral:sRNA from 1 species
UUUGUAUAGUUUAUCUAUCAGGAAAUCUAGGAGACUAGGAUUGUACUUUCAUUUGUAUUAGAUGAGUACCCGCACGUAGUGCGGGUUUAUGUAUUACUAUUUACAAAUUGUUUUAUAUAAUGUCUGUUCAUAUAAAGUAUAGUUGAAUGCAUCGGUUUUGAAACAUAAAUAUGAUUUGUAAUUGUUUUUGAAAAGUUCAACUAUAUUAGUUCAUCUGAAAAACGAAUGUGUUUGAGUUGUUUUUAUUGUUGUUCUAGAUUCUCAGUUUUUUUUCAUAUAUAUAUCCUUGUUUUUUUUGUUAUAUGUUUAGAUUGUGAGACGGUGAAAUUUUAUUUCUUACACUAAAAAAUAUAACAUGUCUUUAUUAACCAUGUCUCUGCAUAUUUAAUCUAAUCAUAUUCAAUUUGAUGUUUUUGGAAAGUUUAGUUAAGUUCUUGUCAUAAUCUUAUAUCUUACGUAUUAGUUAUAAGGAUAGUUCCUCAAACAUCUUUCAAAUUACUUGUUUUCUUAGCCUAAAUUUCAAAAAACUUAGAUAUAUUUAAUUUGCAUAUUCAUUUAGUUUCUUUCAUAAUAAACGUCUAAUUUUUAGGCAAGGAAUAUGUGUAGCAUGUUUGGAUUUUAUGAUCACUUUAGCCACUAAUGGAUCUCAAAAUUAAAAAGAAUAUAUUGAAUUGAAAAAAUGUAGAAAGAAUGAUGGAUUAAGUUCUGACUAAUUAUACCCUCAUAUUUUACUUGUUAUGUUGAAUUAAUUACUAAUUAUGUAUUAGUUAUUUUAUGAAGUCUAUGUGGCAAACUUCAUGUGCUGAUGUGUCAAGUUGUGGGAGAGAGUUAGCGUUCUUUCAUAUAUAUGAUUUGGGUUUAUCCGACAAAAAACUAUUCCGAAAAUAGUGUAAUCUCAAU